rnacentral:rRNA from 1 species
GUGCCAGCAGCCGCGGUAAUACGGAGGGUGCGAGCGUUAAUCGGAAUUACUGGGCGUAAAGGGCGCGUAGGCGGUCGCGCAAGUCGGGUGUGAAAGCCCCGGGCUCAACCUGGGAAUUGCAUUUGAUACUGCGUAACUAGAGUCUGGUAGAGGGAAGCGGAAUUCCGCAUGUAGCGGUGAAAUGCGUAGAUAUGCGGAGGAACACCAGUGGCGAAGGCGGCUUCCUGGACCAAGACUGACGCUGAGGCGCGAAAGCGUGGGGAGCAAACAGGAUUAGAUACCCUGGUAGUCCACGCCCUAAACGAUGAGGACUAGACGUUGGGGGGAUAAAACCCUUUAGUGUCGCAGCUAACGCGUGAAGUCCUCCGCCUGGGGAGUACGGCCGCAAGGUUGAAACUCAAAUGAAUUGACGG